UACGUAGGGAGCGAGCGUUGUCCGGAAUCAUUGGGCGUAAAGAGCGCGUAGGUGGAUCAUCCAGUCUGCUGUGAAAGUCAAAGGCUCAACCUUUGAAAGCCGGUGGAUACUGUUGAUCUAGAGUACGGAAGAGGCGAGUGGAAUUCCUGGUGUAGCGGUGGAAUGCGCAGAUAUCAGGAGGAACACCAAUAGCGAAGGCAGCUCGCUGGGACGUUACUGACACUGAGGCGCGAAAGCGUGGGGAGCAAACAGGAUUAGAAACCCGCGUAGUCC
rnacentral:rRNA from 1 species